CGGCGGACGGGUGAGUAAUGCCUAGGAAUCUGCCUGGUAGUGGGGGACAACGUUUCGAAAGGAACGCUAAUACCGCAUACGUCCUACGGGAGAAAGCAGGGGACCUUCGGGCCUUGCGCUAUCAGAUGAGCCUAGGUCGGAUUAGCUAGUUGGUGAGGUAAUGGCUCACCAAGGCGACGAUCCGUAACUGGUCUGAGAGGAUGAUCAGUCACACUGGAACUGAGACACGGUCCAGACUCCUACGGGAGGCAGCAGACG
rnacentral:rRNA from 1 species